rnacentral:rRNA from 1 species
UACGGGGGGGGCAAGCGUUGUUCGGAAUUACUGGGCGUAAAGGGCUCGUAGGUGGCCAACUAAGUCAGACGUGAAAUCCCUCGGCUUAACCGGGGAACUGCGUCUGAUACUGGAUGGCUUGAGUUUGGGAGAGGGACGCGGAAUUCCAGGUGUAGCGGUGAAAUGCGUAGAUAUCUGGAGGAAUACCGGUGGCGAAAGCGCCUUGCUGGGGCUGGACUGGCACUGAGGGACGAAAGCUAGGGGAGCGAAAGGG